rnacentral:rRNA from 1 species
UACAGAGGUCUCAAGCGUUGUUCGGAUUCAUUGGGCGUAAAGGGUGCGUAGGUGGCGCGGUAAGUCGGGUGUGAAAUUUCGGAGCUUAACUCCGAAACUGCAUUCGAUACUGCCGUGCUUGAGGACUGGAGAGGAGACUGGAAUUUACGGUGUAGCAGUGAAAUGCGUAGAGAUCGUAAGGAAGACCAGUGGCGAAGGCGGGUCUCUGGACAGUUCCUGACACUGAGGCACGAAAGCUAGGGGAGCAAACAGG